rnacentral:rRNA from 1 species
UACGAAGGGGGCUAGCGUUGUUCGGAAUUACUGGGCGUAAAGCGUGCGCAGGCGGUUAUGCAAGACGGAUGUGAAAUCCCCGGGCUUAACCUGGGAACCGCAUUUGUGACUGCAUAGCUGGAGUACGGCAGAGGGGGAUGGAAUUCCGCGUGUAGCAGUGAAAUGCGUAGAUAUGCGGAGGAACACCGAUGGCGAAGGCAGUCCCCUGGGCCUGUACUGACGCUCAUGCACGAAAGCGUGGGGAGCAAACAGG